rnacentral:rRNA from 1 species
CAUCGACGGCGCGGUUUGGCACCUCGAUGUCGGCUUAUCACAUCCUGGGGCUGGAGAAGGUCCCAAGGGUCCGGCUGUUCGCCGGUUAAAGUGGUACAUGAGCUGGGUUCAGAACGUCGUGAGACAGUUCGGUCUGUAUCCAUGGUGGGCGUGGGAGUGUUGAGGGAGGCCGACCUUAGUACGAGAGGACCGGGUCGGACGGACCGCUCGUGUCCCGGCUGUCACGCCAGUGGCAACGCCGGUUAGCGAUUUCCGGUAGGGAUAACCGCUGAACGCAUCUAAGUGGGAAGCCCGUCCCAAGAUGAACACUCCUGGACCGCAAGGUCCCUGAAGGGCCGUGGGAGACUACCACGUUGAUAGGCGGCAGGUGUACGGCGCGCAAGCGCUUCAGCCGAGCCGUACUAAUCGCCCGUGAAGCUUGAUCUC